rnacentral:rRNA from 1 species
GACGAACGCUGGCGGCGUGCUUAACACAUGCAAGUCGAACGGAAAGGCCCCUUUGUUGGUACUCGAGUGGUGAACGGGUGAGUAACACGUAAGUAACCUGCCCUUGCCUUCGGGAUAACUUCAGGAAACUGGGGCUAAUACCGGUUAGGAAUCCUUUCUUCAUGGUGGGGGUUGGAAAGUUUCGGCCGUUUUUGAUGUACUUGCGGGUUAUCAGCUUGUUGGUGGGGUAGUGGCUUACCAAGGCUUUGACGGGUAGCCAGCCUGUGAGGGCGACCGGCCAUAUUGGGACUGAGGUACGGCCCAGACUGCUACGGGAGGGAGAAGUGGGGAAUAUUGCACAAUGGGCGGAGGCCUGAUGCAGCAGCGCCGCGUGCGGGAUGACGGCCUUAGGGUUGUAAAACGAUUUCAGCAGGGGCGAAGCUUGUGGUGACGGUACCUGCAGAAGAAGCACCGGCUAACUACGUG